UGUGCGGUAGCGUAGUUGGUCAACGCAUAAGGCUCAUAACCUUAAGAUCGCAGGUUCGAAUCCUGCCUGCACAA
rnacentral:tRNA from 1 species